UUAAGUUCAGCGGGUAUUCCUACCUGAUCCGAGGUCAAACUUCAGAAAGUUGGGGUUUAACGGCGUGGCCGCGCUAAGUUCCGGUGCGAGGUGUGCUACUACGCAGAGGAGGACUACAGCGAGACCGCCACUAGAUUUCGGGGCCGGCCACGGCGUCAGACGCCGCAGGCCGAUCCCCAACACCAAGCCCGAAGGGGCUU
rnacentral:misc_RNA from 1 species